rnacentral:rRNA from 1 species
CAGUCGCCACGGUAAUACGAAGGGGGCUAGCGUUGUUCGGAUUUACCGGGCGUAAAGCGCACGUAGGCGGAUCCUUAAGUCAGAGGUGAAAUCCCAAGGCUCAACCUUGGAACUGCCUUUGAUACUGGGGAUCUCGAGUUCGGGAGAGGUGAGUGGAACUGCGAGUGUAGAGGUGAAAUUCGUAGAUAUUCGCAAGAACACCAGUGGCGAAGGCGGCUCACUGGCCCGAUACUGACGCUGAGGUGCGAAAGCGUGGGGAGCAAACAGGAUUAGAUACCCCAGUAGUCCCUGUCUCUUAUAC